UACGAAGGGGGCGAGCGUUGUUCGGAAUUACUGGGCGUAAAGGGUGCGUAGGCGGUUUGGUAAGUCUGAUGUGAAAUCUAUGGGCUCAACUCAUAGUCUGCAUCGGAAACUGCCGGGCUUGAGUGUGGGAGAGGUGAGUGGAAUUCCUGGUGUAGCGGUGAAAUGCGUAGAUAUCAGGAGGAACACCUGUGGCGAAAGCGGCUCACUGGACCAUAACUGACGCUGAUGCACGAAAGCUAGGGGAGCAAACAGG
rnacentral:rRNA from 1 species